GAGGGUAUAGCUCGGCGGUAGAGCGCAUGCUUAGUGUGCACAAGGCCCUGGGUUCAAUUCCCAGUACCUCCA
rnacentral:tRNA from 1 species